rnacentral:rRNA from 1 species
GCCGCGAGGCAGAGCGAACCCCAAAAAGCCGUCCCAGUUCGGAUCGCAGGCUGCAACCCGCCUGCGUGAAGUCGGAAUCGCUAGUAAUCGCGGAUCAGCAUGCCGCGGUGAAUACGUUCCCGGGCCUUGUACACACCGCCCGUCACACCAUGAGAGUCGGGAACACCCGAAGUCCGUAGCCUAACCGCAAGGAGGGCGCGGCCGAAGGUGGGUUCGAUAAUUGGGGUGAAGUCGUAACAAGGUACC